rnacentral:misc_RNA from 1 species
CCUAUUUAGAGUGCAUUAUGUUUUCUUAUUGUAUUAGCUGAUAAGAUUAAUCGAUGUCAGGUUUUAUUUCCUUCUUCUUCUUAGGUUUCAAUUGCAAUAACUUUUUGGUGCUACAUAUAAGCACCCUAGUUAACUCUAGCAUUGUGGUGAAAUGAUGAAGAACUAGCAAGCAUAUCUUUAUUUUUCUUCAUUGUUGGUUUUGGAUGGGCCCAAAUGGAGAAAAGUACGGUGAUAAGAAUGUUAACAUCUGCAUACUUAUCUUUCAAGGUGUGUGGCUUAGUACCCACAAUUUGCUAGAAAGAAAACCUAAAACUUCCCUAACCCUAUGAGAAUAAUAAAUAGAAAAACUACGCUCUUGGAAUUUCUUAAUGCUGUGACUGAUCCAUAAGUAGGAAAAUUGACCAAGCAGGCAAGUCCCCACACAAAAUCAGAAUGAAGUACACAGAUAUAGUUGGUAAUAGGUUAUUUCAACUUACC